CUUGAAAUGCACCGUGUAGAACGACCAUCGUACAAACAAAGCAGGCAGGUGGGGCUGUUAGCCUUGGGUCUCCCAGACACACCUGUGGAGCAUCAGGCAGCUAUUUAAGGAGCGGCGUUGCAGACGUCCGGUGUUGGAGUAUUUUCUCAGUCAAUCCAGCCGUCUACAGCCUAAAGACCUCUUCCAUGCUCGCCAUCUUCCCUUACCGUGCUUCCUCGAAUCAACUCCCUUUGCAUGCCUACACUGUCAUUGACCCACACCAGCCCUGCCUCAGCCACUAGCUCCACCCCGUCCAAGUCCUCAGUAAACGUGUGACAAAAUGCUCCAGUGACUCUGUCAGCAGGCUCCCGCAUCCCCAUAUUGAGUUUGUAUUAUUUCUCACUGUAAAAAC
ensembl:lncRNA